rnacentral:rRNA from 1 species
UCCGUAGGUGAACCUGCGGAAGGAUCAUUACCACACCGAUCCAAGAUCACCCCCCGUGAAUGCGGUGCCUUUCUCCUGAAGGGCGCCCACUUUAUAUAAACCAUUCAUUUGCCCUGCGGGCUCGCUUAAGUGCGAGGAGGCAGGAUGAACCCCAAACCGAACCAGAGAUGACAACAGUAUCUGAAUGUGAAGGAUGGAACGCCCUGCCCUUCGGGGUGGGUGGACCCCCUGAACGCUAAUGACAUUACAACUUUCAGCAACGGAUGUCUAGGCUCCCACAACGAUGAAGAACGCAGCGAAAUGCGAUACGUAAUGCGAAUUGCAAGACCUUGUGAAUCAUCGAAUCUUUGAACGCACCUUGCGCUCCUUGGUAUUCCGAGGAGCAUGCCUGUUUGAGUGUCAUUAAAUUCUCAACCUCACCCGUUUUCUGAACGGUUCUCCGAGGCUUGGAUGUGGGGGUUUGUGCAGGCUGCCUCAGUGCGGUCUGCUCCCCUGAAAUGCAUUAGCGAGUUCGUACUGAGCUCCGUCUAUUGGUGUGAUAAUUGUCUACGCCGUGGACAGGGUUUAGACUCGCUUCUAACCGUCCGCAAGGACAAUACCUUUGACAAUUUGACCUCAAAUCAGGUAGGACUACCCGCUGAACUUAAGCAUAUCAAUAAGCGGAGGAAAAGAAACUAACAAGGAUUCCCCUAGUAACUGCGAGUGAAGCGGGAAAAGCUCAAAUUUAAAAUCUGGCGGUCCUUGGCCGUCCGAGUUGUAAUCUAGAGAAGUGUUACCCGCGUCGGACCGUGUACAAGUCUCCUGGAAUGGAGCGUCAUAGAGGGUGAGAAUCCCGUCUUUGACACGGACUACCGAGGCUUUGUGGUGCGCUCUCAAAGAGUCGAGUUGUUUGGGAAUGCAGCUCAAAAUGGGUGGUAAAUUCCAUCUAAAGCUAAAUAUUGGCGAGAGACCGAUAGCGAACAAGUACCGUGAGGGAAAGAUGAAAAGAACUUUGGAAAGAGAGUUAAACAGUACGUGAAAUUGCUGAAAGGGAAACGCUUGAAGU